UGCUUUGGCAGCAACUGAUCACUCAGCGUACAUUGUUCUGUGCAAAUGUCUGUGAUAAGAUUUCGAGCUUGCUUAGCCAUUUCAUCCAGAAACAUGUUACAUAAGGAAAGACUACGAUCUCCGAUGUGAUGUCGCUCUUCUGGGCACAGUUCGUGGGUGCAACUCAUAAAAUGAGUGCAAAGCAGUGGGAAUGCAAUUGAAUAUCUUGAUUGAGAGGGAAGCUCCAAACACUGCUGAAACAUCUUCUCAAAAGCACGACUAUAAAAACAAAAUAUAGAAAGAUCUGAGGUUUCAACCAACAUCUCCACCAAAGAAUCUACCAUUUUUGUGUGGAAGAUGAUUGUGUUCAUCAUUUUGCCUAGCUCCCUGUGGUCUGCCAGUCCAAGAGAAGCUUUAGAGACACUGGUGUAGGCCUGCAAUCUAAACCAAUCUAAUCUCAUUCCUCUGAAGUCAAAUACCUCUCCAUCCUCAACCUGCUUCACACUUAGCGAAGUCAUAGUGUUUACAAAAGAGGACAUGAUGAUUGAUUCAUCCUCUGGGCACACCGAAAGAUUCUGAACAAGUUCAUUUAGGACCACUGCAUCAAAGCCAGACAGAUACUGUACGUAGUAUCUCUGCAUCACAGGUCCGUAUUUUCGCACAUGUGCUCUGAGCUCCUCCAUGUAGAAUAUUAGCUCAGCUAUGUGCUUAUCUAUGAAGUCAUCUGCACUCUUCUUUGGCAUGUUAUCUGCAUGACGAAGAAGCCAAAUGAUUUCAUCACGAGCAAAGGAU
rnacentral:lncRNA from 1 species